rnacentral:rRNA from 1 species
UACGGGGGGGGCAAGCGUUGUUCGGAAUUACUGGGCGUAAAGGGCUCGUAGGCGGCCCUCUCAGUCGGAUGUGAAAGCCCCGGGCUCAACCUGGGAAUGGCAUUUGGGACUGCAAGGCUUGAGUGCGGCAGAGGAGACUGGAAUUCCGCGUGUAGCAGUGAAAUGCGUAGAUAUGCGGAGGAACACCGAUGGCGAAGGCAAUCCCCUGGGCCUGCACUGACGCUCAUGCACGAAAGCGUGGGGAGCAAACAGG